GACUGGAUAGCCUACCGGUAAAAGCAUCACACUGACAAUGCUAAGGUCCCUGGUUCAAAUUCAGGUCUAGUCA
rnacentral:tRNA from 1 species